AAUUCGAACGAAGGUCGGUUCGGUGUCCGACACGUGACUGAGGUCCGUCAAAAUUGCAGUGCCCCACUGGUGUUCCGGCGACUUCUGGAAUAAUAAGAAUUUGCAAAAAAAAAAAAAAAAAAAAAGGGAAAAAAAUGAGAGCUUCAAAUUCAAAACAUGGCGGAGGAGAGAACAACAGAGGCAUUAGUGGUCACCUAUUUACUCUCCAUCAGCGUCUCUUCUAUGCUCUUAGUCUCGGAACCAGAUGCGGUGAAGGUGGAAGGGAAUUGAAAUCGAAAUGGAAGUCUACGGACAUUGAGAUACAGAGACAUGUAGUUCGCUCAAUCGCGGCUUUUCUUGAUUCUGUUACUGCUGAUGUGUCGCACCAUCCGCUCGUUAAGGAUUCAGUUGCUCACAUAGUUGAGGCUUUGGUGUGGAUUCUGCAGUAUAAGAGUGGAGCUGUAUUGAGUAUGGCAGCGAAUGCAGUUGUGAAGCUUUUGACUGUUAUUCCCUCUUCUAUAUUGCAACGGUAUAUAUUAGAUCUUGGUGAUCCUUUGUUGUCCCUGUUGUCUUUUACUCAAUUAGAAGUUGCUAUUUCUUGUGCUACAGCUAUGAACAUGUUUCUCUCUAAUCUGAUUGUAAAGAAGGAAAAACAAGUUUGGGAAAUGCUAAAAGAAAGAAAUACUGUUGCCUGUAUUGUUAAUGAGAUUCGAAAGUUUUCUUAUGAGACUAUGCCAAUUAAUUAUUUCCAAACGAUUGCUUCUCUUUUGAGUACCAUAAUGUGGCAAUGGCCCCUCUCUCGAUAUGCUGUUUGGAAUGAUACCAUACUGAUGAAAGUUUUAGACACUCUACUUGUGAAGCCUGACCUCUCAGUCAAAGUUGUAGUUUUGAAGUUGUAUUCUUCAUUAGGUUUAUGUGGGAAUGCAGCCAAAAAGCUUCUAGACAAUGGAGAAGCCCUUCUACAAGCAAUGGUUCUCUGCAUGGACAGCUCAUGUCCUCUUGCUGUCCGGACAGAGGGAUUCAGACUAGCCCAAUGUUUAGCGACAAAUGAACAGAAUUUCUUAAGAAUGACAAGCUUGUGUUGUGAGCCCCUUGUUAAAGCUGUUGUUUGUGGGAUGAAUAGAUGGAGCUUUGGCCCUGGAAGGUUUUUAAGUGACAAGAUGUCUUUACUAGUUGAGGCAUGUCAUUUGGGUCUAGUUACUCGUUGGGCAGGGAGGCAUCACAUUUAUUUUUGGAACCAUGGGAUUGAAAAGAUCCUCCUUGAUCUUAUUCUGGAAGAUUUUAACGAUCAACACGUACAACAUUUCUUGUCACUAGAAGAACAGAUAACGAUGGCACAAGUGGGUCUUAAUAAAAAUUUUCUUCUUGUUUUGAGACCUUACAUCUGGAAUAUUCUUGGAUGGCUUGCAACAUACUGUGAGGAAGACUUCAGUCCUAAUGUGAAAGGAAAUGAACUUCACAUCAAAGUACUUAUUAUAUGUGCUUGCUUGGAAUUUGCCAACUCCAUCAGCAUGGGGCAUCAAAUCUGUGAAAUUGAUGCCAUGCAAGCCCCCAGAAGUGAAUCAGCAUCAUGGGCAGUUCUCAUGAUGGUUUAUUCUCCCUGCAAGUACAUUGCGUCAAAUGCCAGAUUUAUAUUAUCGGAAAUUCUAUUGCCAAAUGGAAAGGACUACUUGAAGAACUUGCUGCAUUCACUAAACUAUGUAUCAUCAGUAGAAUGUAGUGGAUUGUCAUAUAUACAUCAAACAGUCAUUGAUUUGGUAGGUUUGGCAUGCUACUUAGCCUUGCCAGAGUAUCAAAGGCAUGUGAUUGAAGGUAAAGGAAUGAAGAUAGCGUCGGAUUUUGUGACUUGGUGUUGGAGCGAUCAUAUGCAUAUUAAGAGGCAAAGGUUUAACCCUCAUUGGGAUAAUAAGUUUCUGAAGAGGACUUGUUGCUGGGUACAUGCUGAAGAAUGGGAAGGUGAUGAUGUCCUUUUGCUUUAUGGUUUAUGGGCACUAGCUGAGUUGGUACACCAUUCUGGUUGUGUAAAAGAUAAUAGAGACAUAUGUAGUGGUGGCGUAAACAGUGAGGAAAUUCAUUUGCGUAGCAUACUCCAGGAGAUCUGCAAUGACUCUUCUAGUGAUGGACCAAAAUGGUUUGCUGCAUAUAUUCUUAGUCAUUUUGGAUUUUAUGGUUUUCCAAGUAAACUUGGGAAAAGGGUGGGGAAAGCACUUAAUGAGGAAGGACAUGCAGAUAUUCAAUUCAUACUAAGAGAUGGGGAGACUAUGAGUGUACACAGUAUAGUUCUUAAGAUACGAUGCCCAUCAUUGCUGCCUCCUGAAGCAUCGCCAUGUGAUGAGAAAGCAUUGACUAAUUCUUCAGUCAUUGAUGAUGCUCAAAAGGCCCAUGGAAAAUUUCAAAAAGAAGUUCGUUUAUCUGCUCAUGUUGACAGCCAAGCAUUGCUGAGACUGUUAGAGUAUGUUUACUUUGGUUUUCUGGAAGCAGGGGAUGAACUUGUGAAUAAGUUGAAACCUCUGGCUAAAAGUUGUAAUUUGCAAUCUCUAUUACGACUGUUAUACAGAAAAAGUCCCAAGUGGGGAACUCCUGUCCCCAGCUCUGAUCUUGCUGUUGCUCUUGGUCCAGUUGGGCACUGUCGUUCGGACAUCAUCCUGGAAGCUAAAGCAACUGAACUAUCAUGCUGGACGUGCAGCGUUUGCUCUCUACCAGUGCCACACAUGCAUGUUCAUAAAGUUAUACUGUGGUCAAGUUGUGAUUAUCUGAGAGCAUUGUUUGAAUCAGGGAUGCAAGAGAGCCAUUCGCAAACCAUAAAGGUCCCUUGUAGUUGGGAAGCUAUGGUUAAGCUAGUGGAAUGGCUCUAUACAGGACAGCUACCAGACCCUCCCAAUGGGUGUUUAUGGGACAAUAUGGAUUCUGAGGAAAAAUUGUACCAGCUGCUGCCAUUUAUAGAGCUUUGUUGGCUUGCUGAUUUCUGGCGUUUGGAAGGUGUUCAGGAUGUAUCUUAUAAAGUGAUUGUAUCUUGUCUGGAUGCCUCCCGAGAAUUGUCUAUCAAAGUAAUCCAGAUUGCUGCUAAAUUUUCUCUGUGGAAGUUGGCUGAAGUUGCUGCAGAGCUCAUGGCCCCUUUAUAUUAUAAACUACGAGACUCUGGUGAUCUUGAACAGCUGGAUGACUUCUUAGUUGAUCUGGUUCGUACUGCUUCUGUUCGACAUUGUCAAGAGAUAACCAUCGAAACCUGAAACUGAGGGGGAGUCAAGAUUUAUUGCUGAUUUAAUUUUAGAACUUUGAUUGGUGGGUUCAACAUCAGCACUCAGUAUGUUUAACAACAGUAGAACGUUGUUGAAAAAUCACUAGAACAGUGUCUAAAGCAGGAGUAUAGUACUGGAAAAUCACAAGAAGGCGCCAAAAAUAAGUACAAUAUUGAAAACAAGAGAACAGUCACACCGCUCACUUCUCAUAUUUGCAUGCUGCUGCGUUCAGAUUCGUUUCCUCUCUGGGUGUUUUUGGAUGGCCCAGAUACAAGAAAAGGUAAGUCAAAAAGAGAAAAUUAUAAAUUAUCAAGGUGAAAAUGACUUUUUUUUCUGUGUUAUUAGGAAAAAAAAGAUAUUAUCGCUAUUAUAUAU